rnacentral:rRNA from 1 species
AGUGUAGAUUCAGAGUUGAUCCUGGCUCAGAACGAACGCUGGCGGCAUGCCUUACACAUGCAAGCCGAACGCGAAAGCACUUCGGGUGUUAGUAGAGUGGCAAACGGGUGAGUAACGCGUGGGAAUCUACCUUAUAGUACGGAAUAGCCUCGGGAAACUGGGAUUAAUACCGCAUACGCCCUUCGGGGAAAGAUUUAUCGCUAUAAGAUGAGCCCGCGUUAGAUUAGCUAGUUGGUGGGGUAAUAGCCUACCAAGGCAACGAUCUAUAGCUGGUCUGAGAGGACGAUCAGCCACAUUGGGACUGAGACACGGCCCAA